rnacentral:rRNA from 1 species
GGCUCAGAUUGAACGCUGGCGGGAUGCUUUACACAUGCAAGUCGAACGGCAGCACGGACUUCGGUCUGGUGGCGAGUGGCGAACCGUUGAUAAUGUAUCGGAACGUGCCUAGUAGCGGGGAUAACUGCAUGGCGUAGCUAUUACCGCAUACGCCCUUCCAGGGGAAAGCGGGGACCUUCGGGCCUUUCGCAUAAUGGAAAGCGGCCGAUAUCGGAUUGGCUGGUUGGUGGGGUAACGGCUCACCAAGGCGACGAUCCGUAGCUGGUUUGAGGACGACCAGCCACACUGGGACUGAGACACGGCCCAGACUCCUACGGGAGGCAGCAGUGGGGAAUUUUGGACAAUGGGGAAACCUGAUCCAGCCAUCCCGCGUGUGCGAUGAAGGCCUUCGGGUUGUAAAGCACUUUUGGCAGGAAAAGCAACUGCGGGAUAAUACCCGAUGCAACUGACGGGCUACAGAAUAGCGCAAGCUAACUACGUGCCAGCAGCCGCGGCAAUACGUAAGUGCAAGCAUUAAUCGGAAUUACUGGGCGUAAAGCGUGCAGGCGAUUCGGAAAGAAAGAUGAAAUCUGGAAAACGCAACUUUAGAACUGCAUUUUUAACUACCGAGCUAGAGUGUGUCAGAGGGAGGUGUGGAAUUCCGCGUGUAGCAGUGAAAUGCGUAGAUAUGCGGAGGAACACCGAUGGCGAAGGCAGCCUCACUGGGAUAACACUGACGCUCAUGCACGAAAGCGUGGGAGCAAACAGGAUUAGAUACCCUGGUAGUCCACGCCCUAAACGAUGUCAACUAGCUGUUGUUGGGGCCUUCCCGGGCCUUGGUAGCGCAACUAACGCGUGAAGUUGACCGCCUGGGAAAUUACAGUCGCAGAUUAAAACUCAAAGGAAUUGACGGGGACCCGCACAAGCGGUGGAUGAUGUGGAUUCGAAUUGAUGCAACGCGAAAAACCUUACCUACAGGCAUGUCUGGAAUCCCGAAGAGAUUUGGGAGUGCUCGCAAAGAGAACCGGAACACAGGUGCUGCAUGGCUGUCGUCAGCUCGUGUCGUGAGAUGUUGGGGUUAAAGUCCCGCAACGGGCGCAAGCCCCUUGUCGUGGAGUUGCUGCGAAAAGGGCACUCUAAUGAGACUGCCAGUGACAAACCGGAGGAAGGUGGGGAUGACGUCGGAAUCCUCAUGGCCCACUUAUGGGUAGGGCUUCACACGUCAUACAAUGGUCGGGACAGAGGGUCGCCAACCCGCGAGGGGGAGCCAAUCCCAGAAACCCGAUCGUAGUCCGGAUCGCAGUCUGCAACUCGACUGCGUGAAGUCGGAAUCGCUAGUAAUCGCGGAUCAGCAUGUCGCGGUGAAUAGAUUCCACGGUCUUGUACACACCGCCCGUCACACCAUGGGAGUGGGUUUUACCAGAAGUAGUUAGCCUAACCGUAAGGAGGGCGAUUACCACGGUAGGAUUCAUGACUGGGGCGAAGUCGUAACAAGGUAG